rnacentral:rRNA from 1 species
CACGUAGGGUCCGAGCGUUGUCCGGAAUUACUGGGCGUAAAGGGUGCGUAGGCGGUUCGUUAAGUCUGUCGUGAAAUCCCCGGGCUCAACCUGGGAAUGGCGAUGGAUACUGGCGAGCUAGAGUGUGUCAGAGGAUGGUGGAAUUCCCGGUGUAGCGGUGAAAUGCGUAGAGAUCGGGAGGAACAUCAGUGGCGAAGGCGGGUCUCUGGGCCGAUACUGACGCUGAGGAGCGAAAGCGUGGGGAGCGAACAGG